GACGAACGCUGGCGGCGUGCCUAAUACAUGCAAGUUGAGCGCUGAAGGUUGGUACUUGUACCAACUGGAUGAGCAGCGAACGGGUGAGUAACGCGUGGGGAAUCUGCCUUUGAGCGGGGGACAACAUUUGGAAACGAAUGCUAAUACCGCAUAAAAACUUUAAACACAAGUUUUAAGUUUGAAAGAUGCAAUUGCAUCACUCAAAGAUGAUCCCGCGUUGUAUUAGCUAGUUGGUGAGGUAAAGGCUCACCAAGGCGAUGAUACAUAGCCGACCUGAGAGGGUGAUCGGCCACAUUAGGACUGAGACACGGCCCAAACUCCUACGGGAGGCAGCAGUAGGGAAUCUUCGGCAAUGGACGAAAGUCUGACCGAGCAACGCCGCGUGGGUGAAGAAGGUUUUCGGAUCGUAAAACUCUGUUGGUAGAGAAGAAAGUUGGUGAGAGUGGAAAGCUCAUCAAGUGACGGUAACUACCCAGAAAGGGACGGCUAACUACGUG
rnacentral:rRNA from 1 species